GGGAAUAUUGCACAAUGGGGGAAACCCUGAUGCAGCGACGCCGCGUGAGCGAUGAAGUAUUUCGGUAUGUAAAGCUCUAUCAGCAGGGAAGAAAAUGACGGUACCUGACUAAGAAGCCCCGGCUAACUACGUGCCAGCCGCCGCGGUAAUACGUAGGGGGCAAGCGUUAUCCGGAUUUAUUGGGUGUAAAGGGUGCGUAGACGGGAUAAUAAGUUAGUUGUGAAAUCCCUCGGCUCAACUGAGGAACUGCAACUAAAACUGUUAUUCUUGAGUGUUGGAGAGGAAAGCGGAAUUCCUAGUGUAGCGGUGAAAUGCGUAGAUAUUAGGAGGAACACCAGUGGCGAAGGCGGCUUUCUGGACAAUAACUGACGUUGAGGCACGAAAGUGUGGGGAGCAAACAGG
rnacentral:rRNA from 1 species